rnacentral:rRNA from 1 species
AUUGAACGCUGGCGGCAUGCCUUACACAUGCAAGUCGAACGGCAGCACGGGUGCUUGCACCUGGUGGCGAGUGGCGAACGGGUGAGUAAUACAUCGGAACGUACCUUAUCGUGGGGGAUAACGCAGCGAAAGCUGUGCUAAUACCGCAUACGCCCUGAGGGGGAAAGCGGGGGAUCGAAAGACCUCGCGCGAUUAGAGCGGCCGAUGCCUGAUUAGCUUGUUGGUGGGGUAAAAGCCCACCAAGGCGACGAUCAGUAGCUGGUCUGUGAGGACGAUCAGCCACACUGGGACUGCGACACUGCCCAGACUCCUACGGGGGGCAGGAGUGGGGAAUUUUGGACAAUGGGGGCAACCCUGAUCCAGCAAUGCCGCGUGAGUGAAGAAGGCCUUCGGGUUGUAAAGCUCUUUUGUCAGGGAAGAAACACCGGCUCUAACACAGUCCGGGAAUGACGGUACCUGAAGAAUAAGCACCGGCUAACUACGUGCCAGCAGCCGCCGUAA